AUGGUUUGAAAGUGUGGGAUACAUUUGAUGGCUGAUCCUCUCACUACUUUAUACCUUGGGUAGUGGGAUUUUAGUCCAUCAUAGAGCAAGCAGAUUUGUUUUCACC
ensembl:miRNA MIR3955 microRNA mir-3955